rnacentral:rRNA from 1 species
GAUGAACGCUGGCGGCGUGCCUAAUACAUGCAAGUCGAGCGAACAGACGAGGCUCUUGCUCCUCUGACGUUAGCGGCGGACGGGUGAGUAACACGUGUAUAACCUACCUAUAAGACUGGUAUAACUUCGGGAAACCGGAGCUAAUACCGGAUAAUAUAUUGAACCGCAUGGUUCGAUAGUGAAAUACGGUUUUGCUGUCACUUCUAGAUGGAUCCGCGCCGCAUUAGCUAGUUGGUAAGGUAACGGCUUACCAAGGCAACGAUGCGUAGCCGACCUGAGAGGGUGAUCGGCCACACUGGAACUGAGACACGGUCCAGACUCCUACGGGAGGCAGCAGUAGGGAAUCUUCCGCAAUGGGCGAAAGCCUGACGGAGCAACGCCGCGUGAGUGAUGAAGGUCUUCGGAUCGUAAAACUCUGUUAUUAGGGAAGAACAAAUGUGUAAGUAACUAUGCACGUCUUGACGGUACCUAAUCAGAAAGCCACGGCUAACUACGUG